GAUGAACGCUAGCGGCAGGCUUAACACAUGCAAGUCGAGGGGUAGGAGAAGCUUGCUUUUCUGAGACCGGCGCACGGGUGCGUAACGCGUAUGCAAUCUACCUUUCACAGAGGGAUAGCCCAGAGAAAUUUGGAUUAAUACCUCAUAGUAAUACGCCUUGGCAUCAAGAUGUAUUUAAAGAUUUAUCGGUGAAAGAUGAGCAUGCGUCCCAUUAGCUAGUUGGUAUGGUAACGGCAUACCAAGGCAACGAUGGGUAGGGGUCCUGAGAGGGAGAUCCCCCACACUGGUACUGAGACACGGACCAGACUCCUACGGGAGGCAGCAAUGAGGAAUAUUGGACAAUGGGCGCAAGCCUGAUCCAGCCAUGCCGCGUGCAGGAUGACGGUCCUAUGGAUUGUAAACUGCUUUUAUACAGGAAGAAACACCUCUACGUGUAGAGACUUGACGGUACUGUAAGAAUAAGGAUCGGCUAACUCCGUGCCAGCAGCCGCGGUAAUACGGAGGAUCCAAGCGUUAUCCGGAAUCAUUGGGUUUAAAGGGUCCGUAGGCGGUCAGAUAAGUCAGUGGUGAAAGCCCAUCGCUCAACGGUGGAACGGCCAUUGAUACUGUCUGACUUGAAUUAUUAGGAAGUAACUAGAAUAUGUAGUGUAGCGGUGAAAUGCUUAGAGAUUACAUGGAAUACCAAUUGCGAAGGCAGGUUACUACUAAUAUAUUGACGCUGAUGGACGAAAGCGUGGGUAGCGAACAGGAUUAGAUACCCUGGUAGUCCACGCCGUAAACGAUGGAUACUAGCUGUUGGGAGCAAUCUCAGUGGCUAAGCGAAAGUGAUAAGUAUCCCACCUGGGGAGUACGAACGCAAGUUUGAAACUCAAAGGAAUUGACGGGGGCCCGCACAAGCGGUGGAGCAUGUGGUUUAAUUCGAUGAUACGCGAGGAACCUUACCAAGGCUUAAAUGUAGUUUGACCGGUU
rnacentral:rRNA from 1 species